AUGGAAAACAUUGCAAUCCUGGGGCAAAAGAUAAACUUCAUGCCUGAUAAAAACGAGAAGGACAAUCAACUCCAGUUACCUAAAUCGAUCCAUUCCCACAGUGAGGAUGGCUUUGUGACACUUAAAUAUCUAAGACCAUAGAUCUUGGUUCUUCUGAGUCAGACGUUGUUCUCUGGGCCAAAGACCAAAAUAGCACCAAGACCAAUAUUCUAUAUGGAAAUUGAAGUUCUCCCAAGUAAGUCUAAAAUAUAUAUAUAUAUAUAUAUAUAUAUAUAUAUAUAUAUAUAUAUAUAUAUAUAUAUAUAUAUAUAAAAUGGCCUAGUCCAUGUAGCAGUCUGACUUCAGAUUGUUACUAGCAUGUGUAAUCCUAACCCAAACGAAUCCCCAAGUAUUAAUUGUUAUUAUGUCUUUUUCAUAAGACUUUGUUCUUGAAUGUAAGGAUUUUACCUGUCUUGCUUAUCAUUAUAUCUCAUGUGCCUUAGCAUGAAACAAUUAUUGAAAACAUAUUUAUUGAAUGGAAUCAUGUGUCUUACGGUAUGAAGAAACACUAAGAAAUGAUUUGGUCCAGCAUCCAGCAUAAAAGUAUCAUACUAUUCUUAAGUUUGACAGAUGAAUCUCUGAAGUCCAGAAAUUUAGAGACUCACUCUAAGUUAGGUAGAAUAAACUAGAAACAAAGUCUUCUGUCCCUAAUAUUAUUUCCUUUCUACCACUCUGUUACCACCUAGUUGCGUUCGUACAUUUCUAAUAUGCUAAUUUGCUUGCAGAGAGACUGAAAUAUCUUGCUGUCAUAUCCUAAUCAUAGAGCACUUUUUGUUUAUUAAAUCUCAGGGUUGAAGUUAGAUUAGACUGGAUCAAAAAUGCUAGUUUAGAGAGUUUGGGUUUUAACCUCUAGGGCUCCACUGUAUUCAGGGUCCCUAACUGGUAAGGGCUUAUCUGGACUUCCCACUCAUAUUUCAGAGAAGCUCCUUGCGUGUUCAUGUUCCGUAGCUUUAUGGAAAGACUUCUUUUAAAGAAAGAAAUGUAUGAAUAAAAUUCAUUUGAAAGCUAUUGCUCUAGGGAGUAGGGCAACAAUUUCAUUUACUACUUAAAUUCAUCUUUUGUUUAGCUCUAAAGGUACAAUUUGCUGCAUCUUUUUUGUCUCUAACCAGCUUUUCUUAAUAGCUUGCAGGGUGAGAGGUUAAUGUUGGAUCUAUCCAACAUUAAAUGCUAUCAGUUACAAAAAAAAUAAUAGGCCCUAGAAGAGUUUGGUGAGCCAGAUUAAGAAAAAUAGAGUAUGAGGUAAGUAUUGUCUUUCAUUUCCUUUUUGAGAAAAUAUGCAGUUGUGGGGAAUUUGGAAAAUGCCUAUUACAUACACAGUCUUAUAUUCUCUGGGUUAGUUUAGUGACAUAUGCAGCUGUUGAGUUAAAAGAGAAUGGCUAGAAAAACUGCUGAUACUAGACCAGUAAUUGUGGAUUAAAUUUAAUGGGAAUUUGCCUGGGGGUGGGUGUUGAUAGUUCUAAUGAUUUUUGAAAAGCACUGCAAAGGCUUUUGAAGAAUCUUUUAUAUCUCUCAAUCUCUCUAUUCUGUUACUUGUAAAAUGAGAGGCUUUACACAGAUGAGGGCAAUACACAUUUUAUAGAUUUGUAUGGUACUUUACAGUUUACUAAGUGCUUUUACAUUUUUCUCAUAAGAGAAAAAUGUAAGACUCUUUAUAGCUUCAAAAUUCUAUGCUUUAUGUUUUAUUAAUUCUUUUCAAGAUUCUUUGAGAUUUUUAAAUAGGAAACUGAUACGUUGAACAGUUUUAGUUUAGCAGCAAUAUGACCUUCCAACCCUUUGCUUUUCUGGAGGUUAUUUGGGUUAUGACCAUGGGCUGUGUUAAGGAAUCGUUAUUAUUACUGAUGAGUAAAAUAGUGUAAAAAAUACAUUUCAGAAAAAGUUUCUAUUUCUGAUACCUUUUAACAACCAAAAUCCUAAAUAGCUGAAUAUAGAAUUGUAGCACAAAGUUCCAUGUAUCUUUUUUAUUUUCUUUAAAGAAUUCCGUAAGGCUGGGAAAGUGAUAUAAUACAUGUGGGAAUUGGUUUUCAGAUUGUCAUUAUCAUGGACAAUCCAAUGAUGGUUAAAUUAUUAAGUCUCAAUUACUAAAACAAAGAACAAAACCAUGUCCAUUGUUAGAAGACACUGUAAAUGCUUCUACUAACUUUAUUUCCUCAUUUCUCUAACAUUAGCUUGAGUUAUUGCCACUUAAGAUGAGCCCCCAAAGUAGUGAAAACAGUUUAACAUAGGUUAUUUUAAAAUUAAAUAGAAUAAUUUUGGGGAAAUUUUGUUGGCUUUUUUUGGCUUUUGGGCUUUUGG
rnacentral:lncRNA from 1 species